UACGUAGGGUGCGAGCGUUGUCCGGAAUUAUUGGGCGUAAAGAGCUCGUAGGCGGUUUGUCGCGUCUGCUGUGAAAACCCGAGGCUCAACCUCGGGCCUGCAGUGGGUACGGGCAGACUAGAGUGCGGUAGGGGAGAUUGGAAUUCCUGGUGUAGCGGUGGAAUGCGCAGAUAUCGGGAGGAACACCAAUGGCGAAGGCAGAUCUCUGGGCCGUAACUGACGCUGAGGAGCGAAAGCAUGGGGAGCGAACAGG
rnacentral:rRNA from 1 species